rnacentral:rRNA from 1 species
GACGUAGGGCGCGAGCGUUGUCCGGAUUUAUUGGGCGUAAAGAGCUCGUAGGCGGCUUGUCGCGUCGUUCGUGAAAACCUGCAGCUCAACUGCAGGCUUGCGGUCGAUACGGGCAGGCUCGAGUUCGGUAGGGGAGACUGGAAUUCCUGGUGUAGUGGUGAAAUGCGUAGAUAUCGGGAGGAACACCAGUGGCGAAGGCGACUACCUGGCCUGUUUCUUGACGCUGAGGCGCGAAAGCUAGGGGAGCAAACGGG